AAAUGGACCUAGAAGAUAGCGAAGGGUAGGAAGAUGAAAUAGGCUUAUAUUCAUAAGCCUGCGAGGUUAGAGUCGACAUUAUGUCAGUGGUGUUGCGCAGCUUUGCAUCUUUGGCGAGUCACUGGUGGUCAACUUGGAUUAGUAGACGUGGCAUGUUGUGUAAUAGUUUAAUCUUUAACCUUCCGCUGGAUAAAUGUUACGUUUUCAAAUGUAAUAGAAUUUAAUUGUGCUUUUAAGCUAAAAAGAAAAGGAAAAAUUUCAGCA